AUGACCCAGCCUCCAUUCAUUCAAAAAAAGAAAAAAACAUGGCGAAAACAACACCACGGAGGCGGCCGCGGCCAGCGGCCACGCCACGAGACGACGACGGCGACGACGGCGACGCGAAUGAUUGGGAGGAGAGAGGGGCGUACGGCGGGGCGAUCCGGGCAGGGCGGAAGGCGACAACGGGAAGUGGGCCGCGACAAGAUCCAUGAUCCGAGGAGAUGGAAAAUACAGGGAGGUUAGAGAAAGAUAUUUUUACAGUGAGAUGGCGUUGGCCAAAACUGGAUGUCUGCAAUGCUGCAGCCAAAGCCAUGACAUUGUCUAUACAGUACAUGUCAGCAAGUGGAACGCAGAACAGUUACUCUGAGAAGGUACCCAGAUGGGUCAUGAGAGCAGCUCAAUGCCUGGUGUUGGCAGUCAUGAUGUGGUGAGAUAUAAUUUCAAGACGACAAUGCCCUUAGGUUGGUGGAACAUCCAUUAUAAGGAGGAUUCGAAAUAAGUGGGGCAGUAAUUUGUUUGAUGAUGCUUUUUAUUUGGUCUGCCGUACCAGUCCACCAAUCCCUGUUAUACAUUUGGGUAUUAUCAGAAGAGCACAGUCACGUGAUGCACAUGUGAUGCCAUGGAUUCUUGGACGAAUGGCAUGAUCAUCGAUUCAUGGUGCCUGCUCUUGGCAUCUGACACGACAGGUCAGAAUCACGUAUCCCCAUGUUGGUAUGUUUUCAUGUAGUCUGUUGCAUGCAUUAAUUUCUUAAAUAUAAUUUUAGUUGCUUUCCUAACGAUAUGCAAAACGAUUUAUGCUGGUUACAGCAAAACUAUGACUAUUUACCUAGAAAUUGUAUUCCAUGAUGAUUUUUGAGCAUCUAUUCAUGCCGUUAAGAACUGAACCAGACAGUUAUGUAUGCUGGACAUGAGCUAUGCUUAGAAACUUAGCAAAUGGGCAGUCUAAAACAAACCUAGCAAGCAAGCAGUAGAAAAGUACUGUGAUGACUAGAUCAAUGAACCUGUAAUGACAAUGUCAUGGUGUUGUAACAAAUUCAGUAUGUUAAUUGUCACAUGUUUUCAAAUGUUAGCUUUGGGAUGAGUUAGUUGAACAAGGAGACUGUUACUAUUCAUGCAUAGAUGAUGAUCAUGCCAACAAGGGAUCAUGAGCACUAUAUCAAUUGAACAGACAUCUGCACGGUGGAGGAAAGAUGUAUAAUGCCGAUGGUUAGUUUUUCUCCUUUUUAAAAGAGGAGUAUCCAGAUCAGAUAUUUGUUCCUAUAUCUGCUCAAUCCAGGCUGGACCAAUCUAAGGACAAGAGCCAAGACCCACUAGAAAUUUGGGCAAUGAAAAACUUGUACUGGCCUUGCUUUGAUCCUGGAACAGUGUAUGCCAGUGGUUGGAGGCGUCGAGCUAACCUUUUCCGAUAGCAAGAACAUUGAUUUCCAUUUUUCCCAUUACUAACAAGACGAGAGAGAAGAUACUUCCUUGCUAUGAGGCAGUGAAAGCUGGAAGGACUCCAAUCAUCAGGACGCAGCUUGGCGCGCUGCUGCUGUCUACUACUCUCCGACAUAAUGGCAUAAUUCAAGGGUGCUAAGGGCCACAAGAGUUUGGUACGUAGUGCCCCAAGGCACUCAAACAAAACAAAAACCAAACGGUCUACGUGAUGAGGGAUUAGAUUAUCUGAAGGACCAUAGAUCUUAGGGGAUUUACUGGGGGGUUGUAAUGCCAGUAAAAACUAAGUAGAUUUGGGUCUUCGAGGUCUCCCUCGGUAAGUCUAUGAGCUGGAAUCCAUGGAAGAGUGUACACUCCAAGCAUGUCGAGCUCAUCAUAUCUUUAGAUAGUUGAGGGAAGGUUUGGUUGGCGUGAGCUUGAUUUGUUUUCUGUGGUGGUAUCGGAAUUAGGAGAGAGCUUGGGGUUAAUACGGUGUUCCACACCCUGAUCACAGCUGUGCAGUCGUUGGUCGGACGGCUGUCGGGCACGAUACAGUUUGUUAACUGACGGGAAGCUUUUUGGCGGACCUGCUCUCGCAUGUGAUGCUAGACCCUCUUGAUCCUGUCAUUUGGCCUGUGCCGGAAGGUACGGCUGUAGAGAACUUUUAUGUAUUCUUUGUCGCU